ACCUACGGGGGGCAGCAGUGAGGAAUAUUGGUCAAUGGGCGGAAGCCUGAACCAGCCAAGUCGCGUGAGGGAAGAAGGCUCUGCGGGUCACAGACCUCUUUGGACGGGGAGCAAGGCCGCCGACGUGUCGGCGGAAGGAGAGUACCCGUAGAACAAGCAUCGGCUAACUCCGUGCCAGCAGCCGCGGUAAUACGGAGGAUGCGAGCGUUAUCCGGAUUUAUUGGGUUUAAAGGGUGCGCAGGCGGCACGGCAAGCCGGCGGUCAAAGCGCGGGGCUCAACCCCGCCCCGCCGUCGGAACUGCCAG
rnacentral:rRNA from 1 species